UGGGGAAUAUUGCACAAUGGGCGCAAGCCUGAUGCAGCCAUGCCGCGUGUAUGAAGAAGGCCUUCGGGUUGUAAAGUACUUUCAGCGGGGAGGAAGGCGAUAAGGUUAAUAACCUUGUCGAUUGACGUUACCCGCAGAAGAAGCAACGGCUAACUCCGUGCCAGCAGCCGCGGUAAGACGGAGGGGGCAAGCGUUAAUCGGAAUUACUGGGCGUAAAGCGCACGCAGGCGGUCUGUCAAGUCGGAUGUGAAAUCCCCGGGCUCAACCUGGGAACUGCAUUCGAAACUGGCAGGCUAGAGUCUUGUAGAGGGGGGUAGAAUUCCAGGUGUAGCGGUGAAAUGCGUAGAGAUCUGGAGGAAUACCGGUGGCGAAGGCGGCCCCCUGGACAAAGACUGACGCUCAGGUGCGAAAGCGUGGGGAGCAAACA
rnacentral:rRNA from 1 species